rnacentral:rRNA from 2 species
UACGAAGGUGGCAAGCGUUAUUCGGAUUUACUGGGCGUACAGGGAGCGUAGGCGGUUCGGUAAGCCCUUUGUGAAAUCUUCAGGCUUAACCUGGAAAAGUCGGAGGGGACUGCCGGGCUAGAGGACGGGAGAGGAGCGCGGAAUUCCCGGUGUAGCGGUGAAAUGCGUAGAGAUCGGGAGGAAGGCCGGUGGCGAAGGCGGCGCUCUGGAACGUUUCUGACGCUGAGGCUCGAAAGCGUGGGGAGCAAACAGG